CCUACGGGAGGCAGCAGUGGGGAAUAUUGCACAAUGGGGGAAACCCUGAUGCAGCGACGCCGCGUGAGUGAAGAAGUAUUUCGGUAUGUAAAGCUCUAUCAGCAGGGAAGAAAAUGACGGUACCUGUUUAAGAAGCCCCGGCUAACUACGUGCCAGCAGCCGCGGUAAUACGUAGGGGGCAAGCGUUAUCCGGAUUUACUGGGUGUAAAGGGAGCGUAGACGGCAGCACAAGUCUGGAGUGAAAUGCCGGGGCUUAACCCCGGAACUGCUUGGGAAACUGGGCAGCUAGAGUGCAGGAGAGGUAAGUGGAAUUCCUAGUGUAGCGGUGAAAUGCGUAGAUAUUAGGAGGAACACCAGUGGCGAAGGCGGCUUACUGGACUGUAACUGACGUUGAGGCUCGAAAGCGUGGGGAGCAAACAGGAUUAGAUACCCGGGUAGUC
rnacentral:rRNA from 1 species